UACGUAGGGGGCUAGCGUUGUCCGGAAUCAUUGGGCGUAAAGAGCGUGUAGGCGGUCCGGUAAGUCCGCUGUGAAAGUCGGGGGCUCAACCCUCGAAUGCCGGUGGAUACUGUCGGGCUAGAGUGCGGAAGAGGCGAGUGGAAUUCCUGGUGUAGCGGUGAAAUGCGCAGAUAUCAGGAGGAACACCUAUUGCGAAGGCAGCUCGCUGGGACGUAACUGACGCUGAGACGCGAGAGCGUGGGGAGCAAACAGG
rnacentral:rRNA from 1 species